CAAAGUUGAACAUAUACACAAAUAGUCAAAUUAGUAAAAUCGCUACUUUUCCAUUGGUUUUGCCAGUUACUUGUACUUUCAAGCUGAGGAAUAAUCUAUGGUUCAUUGGAGGCCUAGAGUGCAUUGCUAUUAGUUGUUUGUUUUUUCUGGGUUGGACAUUACGAUUUUGGUUUUUCCUUGUUGAAUCUUCUGUGUUAAAUUUUCGGGCCUGGGUUCACUUGGGUUAUCCCAUUGUUGAUUCCUGCUGCAAUUGCUGACUACUCAAACACCCCUUUUUCAUCUUUGCAUUUUCCAGGUAUUUCUCUAGUCUAUGAAUUGUACAGUUAAGCAAAACUUGAAGCAAUACAAGUUGUUCAAAUUUGAGCCUCCUUUAUUUCAUCGUUGUUAUUUUUACAUCAUGUAAUAAUUACGUAAUGAUGGUUGGUUAAGUUAAAAUGUACGAAGUGUAAACUCAAUUCCUUCACUGCUUGAUGAUAGGAGAGAUGUAAUUUUAACUAUUGUGCUGGACUGGGACUUGUGUGUUAGUCCCAUUACAUCUACAGGCUAGGUCCUGUUGUUAGGUUUAAUUUGUCGUAAUUUAUAAGUUUGUAUUUGGCCUGUUGAGACUCGACAUUGGGUUGGGUUUAAAGGUGCACUGCAUCUCUUGAAAGUGCAUAUAUGGGGCCAUGGUUCCAAAUGACUUGGCCCUUUCACGUAUAGCCUCGCUCCAGCUGAAGUUUGAGGUUCAACGUGCGUGCUUUUCCACUUACUAUUGAUUUGCUAUUUUUUUUCUAAAUCUGUAAGUGUUGGCAAGUGUAUUAGCGAAGGGGAUUCUUAAGUCCUCUUGAAGAUAAACACCCGGCAUAGCGAAAUAACUAUAGGCUUACGGGCUUACACGUUAAAACUGGCAUUGAUUGAAGCCAGCAUGAGUUUGUGGCCUGAUACUAGGUCCAUGAUCCUUACUUUGGGCCUCAGUAUCAUUUGGGCUCACUAAACGCAAGGUAACAUAGAUUUAGUCCUCAUAAGGUGAUAAUAAAUUACUGUGCUUAUUGGGCCCAGGUCUAAGGGGUCACCUCUUUUAAUCUUUAGUUGUAAAAAUUAAAUUCCUUUAGAAUAGACUAAAAAAUGCCACUUAGCAAAUUUUUGAGGCUUUCACAAAUUAAACGCAUAUUCAUUUUAGGCGCGCUAGUUAAAUAAUUCACUUUCCUUAAUCCCGGUGUUCAUUUAUGUGACCCAAAUCUAAAUCUCAACGAAGUUGGAAUUAUGUCAAGAUCUACAGGUGCAUUUAUGUGACGUGGUUUGAGCCAUGUUCUAAUGACAUUUUAAUUCUAAUUAAAAUAAUAAAAGUAGUUUAAAGUUGAAAGGCACAUAAGUUAAAACACGUUCUAAAAUCAUAUAAUUUAAGCCAACUAUGAGGGUUGAGAAACCGUGCAAGAACCACGGAACCCGGGAAUGCCUAACACCUUCUCCUGGGUUAACAGAAUUCCUUACUCAUAUUUCUGGUUCGGGGACUGCAAACAGAUUCAUUCUUUUUCUCGAUUCGGGAUUCUAACCGUUGACUUGGGCACCAUAAAUCUCCCAAGUGGAAAUUCUAAAAUUCUCUUAAAUAAUUGAAUCCCGUUUCGAUUGUCCUUUAAUUGAAAAAACUCCCUUAUCUACGCCCUUCGUCGGGUUUGGAUAGAAAAAAAGAAGGUGUGACAAUGUCUCGAUCUAUGUACCACUCGGAGGAAAUACCAACCAGGCUUUCUCCAAAAUAGGCUAUGAGUAAUUCUUCCCUUCCUCUGGCCUCUCGCAACUAAUUGCAGUAUUUUUUGAGAUGAGCAAUAGGAUCACCGUGCCUAUCGUACUUCUCAAAUUUUAGAGCCUUGAAUCCGCAGGGCAAGUGCACAUGGGGGAACAUGCAUAGAUCCGCAUAAGAUGCACUUUUCUGCCCACCAAAACCUUGGAUGUUCUUGGAGGAUUUGUUCUAUACUCCUCAUCUUUCUUGCGAUCUCUUCUUGCUCAGGAGUUUGGGUGUCUUUUCUUGUCCCAAAGUGAAUUCAAAUUAAGGUGGUUGAGGGUAAGUAUAAGCGGGGAAUUGAGGAGGCUCCAUUUGGAUGGUAGGUGUUUGGAAUGUAAAGGCUGAAGGAUCAAAAGUAGGCCUAAGAAGUGCAAGCUGUGUUGUGGUCGAGCAUGGUGGAACAGUGAAAGUGUUUGGGGCCACAGUGGAUAUGAACACCUAGGGGCGAACCUCAGAAGGUGUUCCCACGAAAUGAGCGGAUAUAGUUGGCUUUCCUACUGGGAUGUUUGGGUGACUGAUUGGGACAUUGGAGGUACCACUAUUUCUAGGGAAACAUUUGGGGAACCCCGGGAUUGUGCUUUCUGGCUAUCUUCCGUUUGCCUACGCAUCCCACAUUUUCAUAACUUUAAGAUGCAGGAUCCUGUUCUCUCCGGCUGCACUAAUUCGGAGGUUCGGAUGCCCAACAUGGGGCCAUCAUAUGCAAUGGGAACCAUUGGUAGAGUCAUUCCGGAAGACAUUCUGAUGCUCCCCUUUGAUCUAGUAAAGAAUGGAUGUGAAGCCAUGUUACCACAAAAACCAGCCACCGUUCUAUAAAAAAUCCUGGAUUGGAAGGGACUGUGAGCAUGUGAUAUUUGCCCUGCGUGAAUUACUCCUACAAAAUUCUUAGAUUUAGGAUUUUCCUUUUAAUUAAUUGAUUUUUUAGGAGUAAUUGCAUAAUUUCCAUGCUUGUUUUAUUUUUGACUUAGAAAAUUCUUAAAAAAUACAAAAAUAUUGCAUGUGCAUUUAGGACCCAAUUUAAAUAUUUUUAGGUUUACUAGUUAAUUAGUAGUACAAAAAAUGAAGAAAAAUAAAAAAAAAUAGUUCUUCUGCAUUUUCACUUUUGAUUUUUGAAUUGUCAUAAUUUUCUUUUAAAACUAGGUAUUAAUUAAUUUCUGGAAAAAUACUUAGUUUAGUUUAAUUUGUAUUCAAAAAAAUAUAGAAAAAUGAAAAAAAUAAAAAAAAAUGAGUAAAUGAAGAGAAAUUAAAAAUUGCGCUUGUCUUAUUAAAGGACCAAAAUUGAGCAAUUUUUUAAAUUAAAUUGCAGCACAAAAAUCCGAUAACCUGGUCAUGCCCAGUCAAAAAACCCAGUCCAAUCCAUUGCCUAAUCUAAACGACGCCGUUCCAUGUAAAUUAAAUCCUGGCUGUCGAGGUUUCAUCAAUCCAACAGCCAGGAAGCCUAAGUCAAUAAGUAUUUAACUGUCCAAACCACCCCCACCCUCCCCCCCCCCUAAUUAGUUUAGUUUAAUUUGUGUCAAACAAAAAUUCUAAACAAAUAAAAAAUGAGAAAAUGAAAAGAAAUUAUAAAUAGGCCUUGUCCAAAUGGCAGCCCAAAAAUCCCAUAACGCGGUCAUGCCCAGCCUAAAAACCCGGUCCAAUCCAUCGGCUAAUAUAAACGACGUUUUUCCAUGUAAAUAAAAUCUUGGCCGUCGAGGUUUCAUCAAUCCAACGGCCAGGAAGCCUAAGUCAAUAAGUAUUUAACUGUCCAAACCCCCCCUACCCUCCCCCCCCCCACCGUCUGUCACACCCUCAAACACCCAAACCCUAACACCACUGCCUACCACUUCUCAAAUAUGUCACCAGUUUCCCACAAAACACAGCCAAACGUCUCGAAUAUUCAUUUGAAAUGUUGGCUCCUCCGCUUUGCAAGGCGGCGCUGAUGCCAACCAGUCCCAAAAUGACACCUAUUUUUUAAUUCUCUCCUAUUAUUAAUAAGCCGGUCAACAUGCAGAUCUACAGCAAAAAAAUACACAAGUAGUGAGUAAGAUGCAUCAGGAUGGUCUUUUUAAUUCAAGCCACCCGUCGUAGACGGACCCAACCCCUAUGUUGAGUCCCCUAGGUCAAAUGCACGUGAUGAAAACAACGAUUUCUACUAGGGAUUUAGCAUGAGGCACUGUUAUACUAUGUUUAAAACCUAGGUUUAUUGUUCUAAACCCGGCUUACUCGAGCGGACAACUCAAGCCGAGGGGGUGCAGUAUACCGGGGAUACAGAAGCUCUGUCGGCUUAACAUCUUGUCCGAACCUCGUUCUAAAAUGAGAUAAGACUCUAAAUAGAAGAGAAGUCACAUGAAGUGCACCUUUCUCCAUGAUGUAGAAGACUUAGAGAGAGGAAGGGUUUCGUAGCAGUUUAUAUACACAAUUCACAAAAAUAUCAAAGAGGUAAAAGCAUUUAGCAUAUUAGGAUGAAAUAUGUAUGAAAAUCAGAUAAAGCCAAUCUUAACAGCUAUUCUAAGGUCGAAUCCUUAAACCCUGAACCAGAGCUUCUAGGUUUUAAUCCCAAGAAUAACCUGAGGAUCUUUCUCCCCAUCAUAACCUAAGGAAAAGUCUUUUGCUCCUCGGCAUAACAUGUGAGUCAUUCCUUUAUCCCCAACAUAACCUCAGCAUCUUUUCUUUUCUUCCCCGGUAUAACCCGAGGGUCAUUUUCUUUCUAUUCCCAGCAGACCCCCUUUAUCUUAUCUCGGCAUAACCUAGAGACUUUCUUCUUCUAUCACGGCAUAACCCGUGGAUUCCCCCGGCAUAACCUAGGAGCCCUUUUAUUCCUAUCCCGGCAUAAACCAUGGAUCGCCCUGGUAUAACCCGGGAGCCUUUGUUUUCCUAUCCCGGCAUAACCCGUGGAUGCCUCUCGCAUAUCCUAGUAGCUUUUUUCCUUCUUAUCCUAGUAUAACCCGUGUAUCCCCCUGGCAUAACCCAGGAGCCUUUUUCUUCCUAUCCCGGCAUAACCCGUGGAUCCCCCUGGCAUAACCCAGGAGCCUUUUUCUUUCCUGUCCCUAUAUAACCCAGGAGCCCUUUCUUUCCUAUCUCGGCAUAACCCGUGGACUUUUCCUUUAUCCCCAAUAGGAACCCUUUUGUUUUAAUCUCGGCAUAACCCGAGGACCUUUUUCUUUUCCGACAUAACCUGGGUCUAGCAUAACCUAGUGAUCCUCCGCAUCUAAGGCUUCAUUCCAAAGGAUACACAAUCCAGAUCUUUAUUGCUUUCAAUAAAAGUAGCUUGAAGUUGUGAUACAAAUAACUCACGAAAUCUUCCUAGUGAAAACUGGGGUAGAGAAUUCGUUCGUUUAUUUGUUUUGGUUUUCAAACAAGUUUUCCCUUCAGGCACAGGAUUUGAGAAUACCGAAAGAGUGAGCCUGAAUCCCCAGUAAAGGAAGAAUAGAACAAAAAAGAAGUUAACCCAGAGUGGUUGCAAAAGAGAUGCGGACUGCUCAAAUUUGAUCAGUGUCACAAGCUGUGCAUGUCCCGCUUCAACCCAAUGCUAAAGAAAGAACAAGCACAUAUUGCAUCAACAAUCUGAUUGGGGCCCACAGUAAAAUUAGCUAAUACUCAAUAUCAAGAUUCAAGAAAUUUGUAGAUACGAAUUUUGUAAUCGUAGUUGAUAGGCAUAGCUAGCUCCGCUUUUGAUAUUAUUUUUGGUGUAAUAAGAAGGUCAGCAAGCAAUUGCAGUAGCAACUACAGUGAAAGCAUAGCUCUUGGUAGUCCCAGCUAUCGAAAUUCCAGAACUACACUGACCUGAUUUCUUUGCAGCCAAGAAUAUGUAGG
rnacentral:lncRNA from 1 species